rnacentral:tRNA from 1 species
CAGAGAGUAGUUUAUAAAAAAUAAAAGCUUUGGGAGCUUUAGAUUUAACAAGUUAACUUUCUGA